CCUCGCCGUAGGACGCCGCCCUGAAUCCCCAACGCGCGCCUUUUCCCUGCGUCCCCAACCUCUGGUCUGCCCUGCAUCCCCAACGCCGUCGCCCUUCCUUCCCGCGUUCCUGGCCGUCUCUUCCGGCGUGAGCAAGGCCGCCGCCGCGCAGCAGCAGGAAUUGAAGAAUCUUCGGACAGAUAAGACUCAUUUGCUGAUUUUCUGAUUCUCCUCCUGCUUCUGAAAUUGAAGAAGGUACCGCAGAAGAAACUAAGUCACAAGAUCAGCCAUCGAAGGAGAAAAAGGCACGGUGGGCAAGCUCACGGCACGAUACAGUAAUUUUCAAGAUCAUGUCGCCUCACGGCACGGUGGGAAAGCUCAUGAAGCCCUGCAUCAAUGGCAGGUUGCUAGCCAACCAUAGACACCAACUGAACUUCUACGAGAGUACCGGAACUAUAGGCUCUCCAGUCUCCAUGCACCUUUCAGCAUAACAUAUAAAUACAUACUUUGCUUAGUUUUAUGUUCUAAUACAUACUUGCAUAAGUUGCUGCUGUUUCAGUAUGGUUUCUUUCAGCCUUCCUGAGUAAAUAUUUCCCAUGUUGGCAAGUAUAAACGAGUGUACUUCAUAAUGACCUCUUUGUUAGGUGGUCCUGGAGCAGACAUUGAUAUCUUAUGUGAAGCGAGAGGAUGAUUUCUUUGGGACACUACAUGACAUAUUGGCCCAAAUGGAGAAGUGACAGAACUGCAACGUGUACCUGAU